GAUAUGCAUGACAUAAAUAACAAUAGUAACCAUGGAAAUAAUGCUCAGUCUUCAUGUUAAGUACGGAUAAGUAGGUGUAAAAAGGGUGAUUUUGGUUGUAAUAAUAAGUCUUUGAAUGAUUGCAGUAGGCGUAUGAUAAUAUAUCGACCAUUCCUAUGCGCUUAAAGCUAAUCAGAGGUAAUGAUAGUAAUGGAAUGUUUAGGAUAGCUCAUAGUGAACAAAAUAAAAGACAGCAUAUGAUGUAUGAGUAGUAUGAAAUAAAUCGAUUUAUUUUGAUUAGUAAAUGUAUGAAUGUAAUAUGGUUAAAUAGGAAGCUAGAAACAAGUUGUGACCUUAGGUCUUUACGAGUAAUAAUUGUAUACAUUUGGAAUAAGUUCAAUGAAUGAAAUGCUAGUGAUAGUAUGUACUAGAAACUAGCAAUAUAAAGUGAAAGACACUAAUAAGAGCUCUGGAUCAGACCCUGACCUCGUGUGAUUAUGAAAGUAAUUUACUAGUUUAAGAAGAUAAGGACAAUGCGUACGAUCAUAAUUAUUCAUGAUUAAGACUGUUGCAAAGACCCCGAAUGACUUAUGUUGUAAUGUGCCCAUUGAAUGAGUACAAUAGACUUGUACAAGAGUAAGAACGAGAAAGGUUUCGGGGACGAAACCUUCUUUAAGGGGGGGUAGACUUGUAACACCCCAAAAUUCGAAUUAUUAAAUUCGUUAGCAUGUUGCCAUGUUUAAUAAAAUGAGAUACAAUAACUGAGUUAAUAAACCUAGUUAAAUGCCUAUUAGAUAAGCUAAAUGAUGAAACUUGUGGCAUUUAUGAUAGUAAGUUAAACUUGAGGGACUUAGAGUGCCAAACUUGGAAGUUUAAUUUAUUAAAACAAAAAUCACACACACACCCACACAAGGUGUGCGUGUGAUCGAGCAGGAGAAAAGGGGAAGGGGUGUAAACCCUAACCCACAUGAAAUCAUCAAAUUGGAAAAGGAUUUGAGGGUUAAUUGGAUGCAUAAACCAAGAUUUAUGAUCACUCAAGCGUUCUUGACACCAAGAUAGGAAUCCCAAAUUGACAUGGACUCAAGUAUGGAAAACUAACGGGUCAAGCGAAGGUGAGGAAGCAAGCAUGAACACUAACGCUUAAGGUAAGUGAUUCCGUAAUCACUUCUUAGUUGUUUAUGUAAUGUUAUAUGCAAUUUAAUUAUAUGUGAUAAUUGAGGUCGAAUAGGAAUGAAUUGUAUGAUGUCAAUGAAGUAUUAAACGGAUUUUAGUUUUGAUCCGAGCAAGGUAGGUGUGAUUAAGAAAUUGUAGCUAAGUAGUGGAAUUGGUUACUUACGUAAGGAAUUCCUUUGUUAUUAAGGAUAGAGCAUAGUUGACUAAAAUGCCCUUGAUAGGUAUAUCGGGCAAACGACCUUAGAAGUCGUUUGGAAACGAGCUAUUCGAUUUGAGUAAUGUCUUGGACAAGUAUGAAAGCGAAGUAUAGGGUUUGGUAUGUCAUAGUCCACUUAAUGCGCAAAUACCCAUAACGGGUCAAAAAUAAGCCUUUGAGCGAAAAUGGGUUAAGAGGAUGCAAGACGUCCGAGAAUUUAAUCUUUUAUGAUAGGUGCCAAUGAAAUUAUUAAAGUUCAUAUGAGAUUGAGGUCAAAUAAACAGAUUAUGUUGAUAAAUGCAUGAACGGGUCAAAUAGUUAGAAAAUGAUAAUAUGUCGAAUGCACGUAAGUUAAGAAUUUCCUUAAUCCGGAGGUAGGAUUUUAAGUUAAUAUGAUAGAAUGUGAAUUUACAAGCAUGUAGGAAGAAACGGGAGGUUAAACGGGUAAACGGUUCAAAAGU
rnacentral:lncRNA from 1 species